rnacentral:rRNA from 1 species
AUUGAACACUGGCGGCAGGCCUAACACAUGCAAGUCGAGCGAGCGGCGGACGGGUGAGUAAUGUAUGGGGACUGCCCGAUAGAGGGGGAUAACUACUGGAAACGGUGGCUAAUACCGCAUACUAUCGGAUAACCCAUAUGGGAUUAGCUAGUAGGUGGGGUAAAGGCUCACCUAGGCGACGAUCUCUAGCGGGUCUGAGAGGAGGAUCAGCCAAACUGGGACUGAGACACGGCCCGGACUCCUACGGGGGCAGCAGUGGGGAAUAUUGCACAAUGAGCGCAAGCCUGAUGCAGCCAUGCCGCGUGAGGGAAGAAGGCCUUCGGGUUGUAAAGCACUUUCAGCGAGGAGGCGAUACCCGCAGAAGAAGCACCGGCUAACUCCGUGCCAGCCGCCGCGGUAAUAC